CUACCAUGGCGAUAACGGGUAACGGGGAAUUAGGGUUCGAUUCCGGAGAGGGAGCCUGAGAAACGGCUACCACUUCUAAGGAAGGCAGCAGGCGCGUAAAUUACCCAAUCCUGAUUCAGGGAGGUAGUGACAAGAAAUAACAACCCGGGGACUUUGUCUUUCGGGAUUGCAAUGAGGACAAUCUAAUAGACCUUACCGAGGAACAAUUGGAGGGCAAGUCUGGUGCCAGCAGCCGCGGUAAUUCCAGCUCCAAUAGCGUAUAUUAAAGUUGUUGCAGUUAAAAAGCUCGUAGUUGAACUUCUGGUCAAGCGUGACCUUGGCUUCGGUCGAGGCAGGCAUGGCCAUCCGUCAGAAAACCAGGGAGGGUCUUAAGUGAUCGCUCUGGGGAUCUGACACUUUACUUUGAAAAAACUAGAGUGUUCAUGGCAGGCUAACGCCCUGAAUACACAAGCAUGGAAUAAUAGAAUAGGACUGGGUCCAUUUUGUUGGUUAUUGGACGCAGUGAUGAUUAAUAGGGACAGUUGGGGGCAUUAGUAUUUAAUUGUCAGAGGUGAAAUUCUUGGAUUUAUUAAAGACUGACUUAUGCGAAAGCAUUUGCCAAGGAUGUUUUCAUUGAUCAA
rnacentral:rRNA from 1 species